rnacentral:tRNA from 1 species
GCAUUAGUGGUAUAGUGGUAGCAUUCCUGCCUUCCAAGCAUGAGACCCGGGUUCGAUUCCCGGCUAAUGCA